CCUACCCUAGCCCUCUGAAGCAUUCGAAAACCCCAGCCCAUACGCCACCGCCGUCGCCGGGGUUUGCAGGUCGUGACCGCCACCACCGUCGCGUGGUCUCUUCUUCCGUUCAUUCAUCUCAGUCUCACUCCAGAUUCUAGGCGUGAACGGUGAACCCUAGCCCCUUCUGAAACAUUCGAAAACCCGAGCCCAGUCGCCACCGCCGUCGCCGGGGUUUGCUGGUCGUGACUGCCACCACCGUCGCGUGGUCUCUUCCCCAGUUCGCCCGUUCAUUCAUCUCAGCCUAGCCCCUUCUGAAGCAUUCCCAGGCUCCCAGCGUCCCCGUGGUCCUCAGGCUGCCACCGCCGUCGCCUGCUCCCCAGCACCGCCGCUUCGUCUUCGCUGGCCUCUCCCUUCGUCGUCG
rnacentral:lncRNA from 1 species